ACUCUUCUCUCAUACAGCACCCUGAAUGAUAGAAAGAAACAACCAAAGUUCUCGUGUUUGAACAAGUUUUGUUUUGAGCUAUAUCAUGGCUGCUUGUGAAGUAUUAUUUUGCGUGUUUUAUUUAAUUCAGUGAUCUGCAGCCUAAUUAAAGUUUAAAUUUUUGGAGCACGCAUUUUUAAAUAAGUAAAACGUAAAAUAAAAGUUUUCUAAAGCCAAAAUAUGGAAUUGAAGAGGGUGAUACAGAAAUACUUCAUUGCACUGUCAAUUCGAAGCACGCAAUAGAAGCUACGCCAACAAUGGUCAACAUCAAUGGCGAAACCAUUUAAUACAUAUGUCAAACCUCAUAUGGCGCGUUAAAGGUACGCAAACUUAUUGGUGUCACUUAUUGUAGCAGCGUAGAACUUUCGAAGCGAUGGAAUAUGUGCUGCAAGCAAAUCCAAAACUAUGGACGCAAACGCUGCUACAUGGAACACAAAUCAUUCACACACCAGAUAUUACGUUUAAUGUCACUUUUUUGCGUGCAAUUAAACGUUUUGGUCAACACAAGCACGAGAAUUGGAACGACAUGGCGUGUGUCAACUGGGUUUUGCCAAUGAGCUAGAGGGCAAAGCAGUUUCAGUAUCUUUAAGCUUACCGGCACUUGGCCGUGCCAUUAGCAGCUAAAACACAGAAAUUAAAGGGAGGACUUUUUUGAUUCAUUUUCAUCUUGUAUUGAGGAACCAUAACGUUGUUGUAUCGCUUUACAAGGACAUAAAUUCACCGAAAUUAGUUCAAUGGAAAUACUACAGCAAGAGCAUGGUGUUAAGACUUGAACGGUGCCGUGUUAGAUUUAGAAUUCCUGAAACAUAAGGUAAUUAUUACCAACUUUAUAAAAAUUCUAAUACUUUAUAUUUUAUAGAAACCCUCCUCCCAGAUGAAUCUAGUACUAGUGAAAUUAAUGAAAGAACAGAUCUUAUAAAAACUCCGAAAGAAACCAAAAGAGUCCUCACAUAAUGUGCGCAGCUUACACUUCCAGACCGCACGGGGUAUUUGACAUUUUUCACUCUUCCUCCAGCCUUUGUCGGAUAGCAAAAAUUGUUCAAAUAUUCAUUUUCACCUACUUUAUACAUAUGUAUAUAGUGUAGUACGAUAAUAUAUGUAUAAAGUAAAUAUAAUAAUAAACAACUAAAUGACAUGAUAUUUUAAAUAAAUAUGUAAU